AGCGAACGCUGGCGGCAGGCUUAACACAUGCAAGUCGAACGGGCAUAGCAAUAUGUCAGUGGCAGACGGGUGAGUAACGCGUGGGAACGUACCUUUUGGUUCGGAACAACACAGGGAAACUUGUGCUAAUACCGGAUAAGCCCUUACGGGGAAAGAUUUAUCGCCGAAAGAUCGGCCCGCGUCUGAUUAGCUAGUUGGUAGGGUAAUGGCCUACCAAGGCGACGAUCAGUAGCUGGUCUGAGAGGAUGAUCAGCCACAUUGGGACUGAGACACGGCCCAAACUCCUACGGGAGCCGGCAGUGGGGAAAAUUGACAAUGGGCGAAAGCCUGAUCCAGCCAUGCCGCGUGAGUGAUGAAGGCCCUAGGGUUGUAAAGCUCUUUUGUGCGGGAAGAUAAUGACGGUACCGCAAGAAUAAGCCCCGGCUAACUUCGUG
rnacentral:rRNA from 1 species